UACAGAGGGGGCAAGCGUUGUUCGGAAUUACUGGGCGUAAAGGGCGCGUAGGCGGCCUUCUAAGUCAGACGUGAAAUCCCCGGGCUCAACCCGGGAACUGCGUCUGAGACUGGAAGGCUUGAAUCCGGGAGAGGGAUGUGGAAUUCCAGGUGUAGCGGUGAAAUUCGUAGAUAUUAGGAAGAACACCAGUGGCGAAGGCGGCUCACUGGAUCGGUACUGACGCUGAGGUGCGAAAGCGUGGGGAGCAAACAGG
rnacentral:rRNA from 1 species